rnacentral:rRNA from 1 species
GACGGACGCUGGCGGCGCGCUUAACACAUGCAAGUCGAACGGAAAGGCCUGCUUUCCCUUGUGGAUUGCGGGUACUCGAGUGGCGAACGGGUGAGUAACACGUGAGUGAUCUGCCCCCAACUUGGGUAUAAGCCUGGGAAACUGGGUCUAAUUCCCGAUAGGACUGCAGGGUGGUGCCUGUGGUGGAAAACGAUUUUCUAGUGGUUGGGGAUGAGCUCGCGGCCUAUCAGCUUGUUGGUGGGGUAAUGGCCUACCAAGGCGGCGACGGGUAGCCGGCCUGAGAGGGUGGACGGCCACAUUGGGACUGAGAUACGGCCCAGACUCCUACGGGAGGCAGCAGUGGGGAAUAUUGCACAAUGGGCGGAAGCCUGAUGCAGCGACGCCGCGUGGGGGAUGACGGCCUUCGGGUUGUAAACUCCUUUCGACCGCGAGGAAGCCACCUGGUUGGAAGGGUGGUGACGGUAGUGGUAGAAGAAGCACCGGCUAACUACGUG